GAUGAACGCUGGCGGCGUGCCUAAUACAUGCAAGUCGAGCGCAGCGGGGACGGGUGAGUAACACGUGGAUAACCUCCUAUAAGACUGGGAUAACUUCGGGAAACCGGAGGUAAACCUGCUAUUUAUAUGUGGCUCCUCGCUGCAUUAGCUAGUUGGUAAGGUAACGGCUUACCAAGGCAGCGAUGCAUAGCCGACCUGAGAGGGUGAUCGGCCACACUGGAACUGAGACACGGCCCAGACUCCUACGGGAGGCAGCAGUAGGGAAUCUUCCGCAAUGGGCGAAAGCCUGACGGAGCAACGCCGCGUGAGUGAUGAAGGUCUUCGGAUCGUAAAACUCUGUUAUUAGGGAAGCGGUACCUAAUCAGAAAGCCACGGCUAACUACGUGCCAGCAGCCGCGGUAAUAC
rnacentral:rRNA from 1 species